rnacentral:rRNA from 1 species
AACGAACGCUGGCGGCAUGCCUAACACAUGCAAGUCGAACGAGACCUUCGGGUCUAGUGGCGCACGGGUGCGUAACGCGUGGGAACCUGCCCUUAGGUUCGGAAUAACUCCCCGAAAGGGGUGCUAAUACCGGAUAAUGUCUUCGGACCAAAGAUUUAUCGCCUUUGGAUGGGCCCGCGUUGGAUUAGCUAGUUGGUAGGGUAAAAGCCUACCAAGGCGACGAUCCAUAGCUGGUCUGAGAGGAUGAUCAGCAACACUGGGACGAAGACACGGCCCAGACUCCUACGGGAGGCAGCAGUGGGGAAUAUUGGACAGUGGGGGAAGGCCUGAUCCAGCAAGGCCGCGUAAGUGAUGAAGGCCUUAGGGUUGUAAAGCUCUUUUACCCGGGAUGAUAAUGACAGUACCGGGAGAAUAAGCUCCGGCUAACUCCGUG